rnacentral:rRNA from 1 species
UACAGAGGGUGCAAGCGUUAAUCGGAAUUACUGGGCGUAAAGCGUGCGCAGACGGUUGCGUAAGUCAGAUGUGAAAGCCCCGGGCUCAACCUGGGAAUUGCAUUUGAGACUGCGUAGCUAGGGUGCGGAAGAGGGAAGCGGAAUUUCCGGUGUAGCGGUGAAAUGCGUAGAUAUCGGAAGGAACACCAGUGGCGAAAGCGGCUCCCUGGUCCAGCACCGACGUUCAGGCACGAAAGCGUGGGGAGCAAACAGG